GACGAACGCUGGCGGCGUGCCUAAUACAUGCAAGUCGAACGAGAGCGACCGGUGCUUGCACUGGUCAAUCUAGUGGCGAACGGGUGAGUAACACGUGGGUAACCUGCCCAUCAGAGGGGGAUAACAUCCGGAAACGGAUGCUAAAACCGCAUAGGUCUUCGAACCGCAUGGUUUGAAGAGGAAAAGAGGCGCAAGCUUCUGCUGAUGGAUGGACCCGCGGUGCAUUAGCUAGUUGGUGAGGUAACGGCUCACCAAGGCCGUGAUGCAUAGCCGACCUGAGAGGGUGAUCGGCCACAUUGGGACUGAGACACGGCCCAAACUCCUACGGGAGGCAGCAGUAGGGAAUCUUCCGCAAUGGACGCAAGUCUGACGGAGCAACGCCGCGUGAGUGAAGAAGGUUUUCGGAUCGUAAAACUCUGUUGUUAGAGAAGAACAAGUGCUAGAGUAACUGUUAGCGCCUUGACGGUAUCUAACCAGAAAGCCACGGCUAAUUACGUG
rnacentral:rRNA from 1 species